GUACCCUCACGACAUUAAACAUGACUAUCCUCAAAUCAUGGCUAGCCAAGGAUAAGAGAUGUAAUGGCUUGGGAACAUAUUUGGGUGCAUUGGUGGGCUUGUGGUGCCUUUGUGUUACAAUCACCGACAACGAGAGUGAGGGACGCAACAGAAAUCCUACCUAGCGACAGUUGCAGGAAUGUCCACUAACGAGACAUCUUUGGGAUCCGGUUGGUAGUGUUUUAAGUGA